CAGGCAUACCUGUUUCUCCAGGAUUUGCUGCUGUGAGAAAAUCCUGAUUAGUUGUUUUUACGGAAAAACUGGAAAUGAUUUGCUUGUGCGCUCCUUGAGCGCUAUUGUACGCAGGUUUGUGAAAGGGAAUUGCCCCUUCCUUUGAGGUUACGGGUGUCUCCGCAUUUGUUGGUAGCAGUGAACUGAGGUUUUCGAAAACCAAGAUGAAUCCCCUGACCUUGCUCUUACACUGCAGGCUUCAAACGCCAUCAGUUCAAUGUGUUGCUGUAUUUUCUGACUCGCCAAGUACAGUGCGAUGGUGCUACCGCUUCGCGGUGAACAAAGGGGCUCCUCUAAAAUACGCCUUCCCGUUGAUGCCCUUAUCGUGGCUGGUCUGCGCUCAGCCGCCCGCUCAGACGGCACCUUCCUGUGCAGUCCUCUGACUUCUGCUCGAACGCGAGUGAGACGUGUUGCUGUAUGGAACAUUUCUGUUAUCGAAAGACUUCUCAGCCCCUCUGCAUGCUGGUUUGUACAACUUUGCAGCUGAGUGAAGAGCAGACACAAGUGGAUUCUUGGCACAAACAUCUCAGACAAAUGAAAGUAAAAUGUAUAUUCAAGCUGUCUGCUGUUGUAUAUUUUACCCCAUACCUGUCUUUAUGCCUGAUCUCAAAUGGACUUAAUGGUUUAAUUUGUAAGCUUUUUGAGUGAGACCUGUUGUGUUUAAACUUCUUGGUAAAAUGAGCGUAACCCAUGUAAUGGCAUGAUUAAUAGGGAGUAUUACCAAAUUGUAAUUUGCAAAUUAAUGGUUUAACUCUUAGAUUAAACAUACAGCUGUGUUCUUGUGUAAUGUUACAAGACAAAAUUAGAUCACGUAUUUAAAAACAGAAGGACCUAAUCCAAAAUCAGUGGGUAUCUUCCCAGGGACUUCACUAAGCUUUGCAUUAGGCCUUUUCCUCACUGUAAUGAGGGUGCAGAUAUGUAACAUGCGCAAAGUUACUCAAAUGUGCAUGCAUCCGCAAGAACAGGCUGUUAACAUCUAAACUACCGGAGAUACCAAUAUGUUAGGAGCAAAAUAAUGAAAUUACUUGUUUCCAUGGUGGUAGUGACUAAGGCCACCUAAGUGAUGUUUGGGUUCAGUUUGUACCUGGCAGACUAAUCUAAGUGAUGCUGCUGUGCAUAUAUAUAUUUGAGUACUUGCAAAAUUAUAUAUGAAUUUUUAAAGGAGGAAGUAUUUGGGAGCUGGGCUCAGCUUUGUUGCGAUUUGCCCUUGUGCUUUCCUUGACUGUUGCUAACAAGAAGUGCUGGCCUAAAUCAGUGUCUUAGAGAAUCAUCGAUUCGCUAAUUGCAGAUAAUCAAGUCUCUGCUCCCUGCUCAUGCUGAGACCACUUUUGUUUUCUGCUGCUCCACAAGGAUUCGGGCAGAGUCCUCCAGUGUUUGACGUAACCAAUAAAGUGGGUUUUGAGCGCCCGUAUUGUUAAUUC
rnacentral:lncRNA from 1 species